CAUCUGGGUCCAGUGGCAAGAUAUAGAUGGCUCUAGAUACAAUGGGAGACUUGGCCUUUAUAAGCUCAUGUCUUUUUUAGGUCUUAGUUUGUCUGAGGCAACACCAUUCAGCGAUUAAGAAUAGGGAAACAUGUGAUUGUUCUGAGGGGCCAGCUGGGAGCCUUGAAUCAUCCCCUGAGGCAAGAGAGGAAAAGAAGAGACCACUUCUGAGUGACUGUCUUUCUCAUGUGGCCUUCCAGAUCAAUUAUGGUGUGUGGAUACCAAUGGAGGUCACAGGCUGCCCAUCAAAUAUCCCUUGCUUUCUCUAUGCAACUGUACAAUACUUGAGAAGAGAGAAAGGAAAAUCUAAAUCUUGUGGAGAGAAAAAUCCAGAAGCUUCAGGAAGGAUAUUUACUGAGAAGAAGUCACACUUAUUCUGCCACCUUGAUCUCCAAGAAGAUUAGUUGUUGCAGAGCAUGUAUUUACUUCCACCAGGUUCACUGCCCAACUCUGGUAUCCUAUGCCUCUGAGGAGACAAGCAUGGCACAAUGAAUAGAAAGAUAGACUUCAGG